GAAAGUAAAAAAGGGCGCAUGGCGGAUGCCUUGGCUCUCGGAGGCGAUGAAGGACGUGAUAAGCUGCGAUAAGCUUUGGGGAGGUGCAAAUGACCUUUGAUCCAGAGAUUUCCGAAUGGGACAACCCAAUAUCUUGAAGAGGUAUUAUCCAACGUUGUUGGAGGCUAACGCAGGGAACUGAAACAUCUUAGUACCUGCAGGAAAAGAAAAUAAACAAUGAUUCCCCCAGUAGUGGCGAGCGAACGGGGAACAGCCCAAACCAUCCAUGUUACGGCAUGGGUGGGGUUGUAGGACUACGCCGUUGCAUGAAGACAUCAGAGAAGAACUUUCUGGAAAGAAAGACCAUAGAGCAUGACAGUUGCGUAUUCGAAUGUUGUCGAAGCAUAGUAGUAUCCUGAGUAGCGCGGAGCACGAGGAAUUCUGCGUGAAUCUGCCGGGACCAUCCGGUAAGGCUAAAUACUCCCGAGAGACCGAUAGCGAACCAGUACCGUGAGGGAAAGGUGAAAAGCACUUCGAACAGAAGAGUGAAAUAGUUCCUGAAACCGUGCGCCUACAAGCGGUCGGAGCUCGUUAAUGAGUGACGGCGUGCCUUUUGCAUAAUGAACCUACGAGUUGCCUUUGCCGGCAAGGUUAAGUGUGACGACACACGUAUCCGAAGCGAAAGCGAGUCUGAACAGGGCGUAUAGUCGGCAGUGGCAGACGCGAAACCAAGUGAUCUACCCUUGGCCAGGUUGAAGGCUGGGUAACACCAGCUGGAGGACCGCACCAAUAAGCGUUGAAAAGCUUCUGGAUGAGCUGAGGGUAGGGGUGAAAGGCUAAUCAAACUUGGAGAUAGCUCGUACUCCCCGAAAUGCAUUUAGGUGCAGCCUUGUGGGUUACUGAUGUGAGGUAGAGCGACUGAUAAGAUGCGAGGGCUUCACCGCCUAUCAAGUCUUGACAAACUCCGAAUGCGCAUCAGUUUUACCUCAGGAGUGAGGGCAUGGGUGCUAAGGUCCGUGCCCGAGAGGAGAAGAAUCCGGACCACCUGCUAAGGUCCCGAAAUGACAGCUAAGUUAAACUAACGAAGUCUGACUGCUAAGACAGCUAGGAUGUUGGCUUGGAAGCAGCCAUUCAUUUAAAGAGUGCGUAACAGCUCACUAGUCGAGGAGUCUGGCGUGGAUAAUAAUCGGGUAUUAAGUUGUCUACCGAAGCAGUGGGAUCAUUGAAAUGAUCGGUAGGGGAGCAUUCCAGUCAGCGUCGAAGGCGUACCGCGAGGUAUUCUGGAGCGUCUGGAAAAGCAAAUGUAGGUAUAAGUAACGAUAAAGGGGGCGGGAAACCCCCUCGCCGAAAGACUAAGGUUUCCUGAUCAACGCUAAUCGGAUCAGGGUAAGUCGGGUCCUAAGGCUCAGCCGAAGGGCGAUGCCGAUGGCAGAAACGGUUAAUAUUCCGUUACUACCUCCAGGAGUGAUGUGGAGACGCAGUAGUGACAAUGCCGCCAUCUGACGGAAUAGAUGGUUGAAGGGUGUAGAUGUUGAUCUUGGCAGGCAAAUCCACCAUGAGAAUCGAACCUGAUAGUAUGCCGCGUCCCUCGGGACAAGGCAAUAGUGCAUGUAAUCAUGCUGCCAAGAAAAUCCGCUAAACAAAAUCCUGUAGGUACCCGUACCGUAAACGGACACACGUAGUCGGGAUGAAUAUUCUAAGGCGCUUGAGUGAUUCACGGUUAAGGAACUAGGCAAACUGACCCUGUAACUUCGGGAUAAAGGGUCCCUACCCGGUGACGGGAGGGCGCAGAGAAUAGGUCCAGGCAACUGUUUAACAAAAACACAGGGCUGUGCUAAAUCGAAAGAUCCUGUAUACAGCCUGACACCUGCCCGGUGCUGGAAGGUUAAGAGGAGACGUCAUCGUUGAGAGAAGCGUUGAAUUGAAGCCCCAGUAAACGGCGGCCGUAACUAUAACGGUCCUAAGGUAGCGAAAUUCCUUGUCG
rnacentral:rRNA from 1 species